CCCUUAGAUGUUCUGGGCCGCACGCGCGCUACACUGAUGCAUUCAACGAGCCUAGCCUUGACCGAGAGGUCCGGGCAAUCUUUGAAACUGCAUCGUGAUGGGGCUAGAUUAUUGCAAUUAUUAAUCUUCAACGAGGAAUGCCUAGUAAGCGUGAUUCAUCAAAUCGCGUUGAUUACGUCCCUGCCCUUUGUACACACCGCCCGUCGCUCCUACCGAUUGAGUGUGUUGGUGAGGAGUUUGGAUUGGCCUCGGAAGGUGGUUCGCCACCGUCCGUAGCUGAGAAGUUCUCCAAACCGCCCCACUUAGAGGAAGGAGAAGUCGUAACA
rnacentral:rRNA from 1 species